rnacentral:tRNA from 1 species
GCCCCCCUAGCUCAGUGGAUAGAGCACCGGCCUCCGGAGCCGGGGGCGGGGGUUCGAGUCCCCCGGGGGGUACCA